rnacentral:rRNA from 1 species
GAUGAACGCUGGCGGCGUGCCUAAUACAUGCAAGUCGAGCGAACGGACGCGACGCUUGCUUCUCUGACGUUAGCGGCGGACGGGUGAGUCACACGUGGAUAACCUACCUAUAAGACUGGGAUAACCUCGGGAAACCGGAGCUAACCCCGUAUAAUCUUCUGCACCGCAUGGUUCAAAAGUGAGAGACGGUCUUGCUGUCUCUAAUAGCUGGAUCCGGGCUGCAUUAGCUAGUUGGUAAGGUAACGGCCUACGACGGCAACGAUGCGUAGCCGAAGUGAGAGAGGGGUCGGCCACAUGGGAAGUGAGACACGGACCAGACGCCUGCGGGAGGCAGCAGUAGGGAAUGGGCCGCAGUGGGGGAAAACCUUGCGGAGCAAGGGCGCGUGAGUGGUGGAGGUGCUGGGAUCGUGAAGCUCUGUUAUUGGGGAAAAACAUAUGUGGAAGUAGCUGUGGACUUCUUGACGGUACCGGGUCAGAAAGCCACGGCUAACUACGUG